CAUACUGAUCACUGCCAUAGAUAUAAAAACCAGAACAAUUUAGUAUGGCUGGAGAAGUGAUAAUUAGAACCAUAAACACUUUUGCAGAAACAUCCACUUGCAACCAUUUGAAUGGUUAUUUCGCCAGUAAAGCAUCAAAGCGGAAAGUUUAAAUUCCUCAAACCAACUGAUCAAGCAUUUCAUCCACAGUGCUGUACUUGACAUCUGGAUAUAACUCAGAAGCCUCAACCCCCCAUGAGGGAUCAAUCUCAAAGUUCGUCUGAUCACCCUUAAUAAAGGCAGAGUGAUUGAUUGCAAGACCAACAUUAAAAGGAACUGGAGCAGCUUGGAUAUCCUUAAGAAGCU
rnacentral:misc_RNA from 1 species